ACGAUGUCACUAGCGAUUCGCCGGUGGCUCUCAGGCCCUGGUGAGGAGCUUCCCGGAAACGAAAGUCUUCCGGUUCCGGGGGAAGUAUGGUUGCAAAGCUGAAACUUAAAGGAAUUGACGGAAGGGCACCACCAGGAGUGGAGCCUGCGGCUUAAUUUGACUCAACACGGGAAAACUCACCCGGCCCGGACACCGUAAGGAUUGACAGAUUGAUAGCUUUUUCAUGAUUCGGUGGUUGGUGGUGCAUGGCCGUUCUUAGUUCGUGGAUCGAUUUGUCUGGUUUAUUCCGAUAACGAGCGAGACUCCAGCCUACUAACUAGUACGAGCAUUGCCUCUGUGCUCGGCACUUCUUAGAGGGAUUGACUGCGUCUAGCGGUACGAAACGGAGCAAUAACAGGUCUGUGAUGCCCUUAGAUGUCCGGGGCUGCACGCGCGCUACACUGGCAAAGGCAACGUGCUUGUCCGUCUCCGAAAGGAGCCGGUAAACCCUUGAAAAUUUGCCGUGAUUGGGAUCGGAAAUUGCAAUUAUUUUCCGUGAACGAGGAAUUCCUAGUAAGUGCGAGUCAUCAGCUCGCGUUGAU
rnacentral:rRNA from 1 species